rnacentral:rRNA from 1 species
AUGAACGCUGGCGGCGUGCCUAAUACAUGCAAGUCGAGCGCACAGAUGAGGAGCUUGCUCCUCUGACGUUAGCGGCGGACGGGUGAGUAACACGUGGAUAACCUACCUAUAAGACUGGGAUAACUUCGGGAAACCGGAGCCAAUACCGGAUAAUAUAUUGAACCGCAUGGUUCAAUAGUGAAAGACGGUUUUGCUGUCACUUAUAGAUGGAUCCGCGCCGCAUUAGCUAGUUGGUAAGGUAACGGCUUACCAAGGCAACGAUGCGUAGCCGACCUGAGAGGGUGAUCGGCCACACUGGAACUGAGACACGGUCCAGACUCCUACGGGAGGCAGCAGUAGGGAAUCUUCCGCAAUGGGCGAAAGCCUGACGGAGCAACGCCGCGUGAGUGAUGAAGGUCUUCGGAUCGUAAAACUCUGUUAUUAGGGAAGAACAAAUGUGUAAGUAACUAUGCACGUCUUGACGGUACCUAAUCAGAAAGCCACGGCUAACUACGUG